GGAGGGGGCUAGCGUUAUUCGGAUUUACUGGGCGUAAAGCGCACGUAGGCGGCUAGGUAUGUCAAAGGUGAAAGCCCUCGACUCAACCGAGGAACUGCCUUUGAAACUGCUUGGCUUGAGUCCGGGAGAGGGGAGCGGAAUUCCCAGUGUAGCGGUGAAAUGCGUAGAUACUGGGAGGAACACCGGUGGCGAAGGCGGCUCCCUGGACCGGCACUGACGCUGAGGUGCGAAAGCGUGAGUAGCAAACAGGAUUAGAUACCCUGGUAGUCCACGCCGUAAACGAUGGGCACUAGGUGCAGCGGGUGUCGACCCCCUGCUGUGCCGAAGCUAACGCAUUAAGUGCCCCGCCUGGGGAGUACGGUCGCAAGGCUG
rnacentral:rRNA from 1 species